GUACUUGCUUCAGCAGCACAUAUACUAAAAUUGGAACGAUAUAGAGAAGAUUAGCAUGGCCCCUUGUGCAAGAAUGACAUGCAAAUUUGUGAAGCGCUACAUAUUUUU
rnacentral:snRNA from 1 species